GGGUUGUGAGGUUAAGCGACUAAGCGUACACGGUGGAUGCCCUGGCAGUCAGAGGCGAUGAAGGACGUGCUAAUCUGCGAUAAGCGUCGGUAAGGUGAUAUGAACCGUUAUAACCGGCGAUUUCCGAAUGGGGAAACCCAGUGUGAUUCGUCACACUAUCAUUAACUGAAUCCAUAGGUUAAUGAGGCGAACCGGGGGAACUGAAACAUCUAAGUACCCCGAGGAAAAGAAAUCAACCGAGAUUCCCCCAGUAGCGGCGAGCGAACGGGGAGCAGCCCAGAGCCUGAAUCAGUGUGUGUGUUAGUGGAAGCGUCUGGAAAGGCGCGCGAUACAGGGUGACAGCCCCGUACACAAAAAUGCACAUGCUGUGAGCUCGAUGAGUAGGGCGGGACACGUGGUAUCCUGUCUGAAUAUGGGGGGACCAUCCUCCAAGGCUAAAUACUCCUGACUGACCGAUAGUGAACCAGUACCGUGAGGGAAAGGCGAAAAGAACCCCGGCGAGGGGAGUGAAAAAGAACCUGAAACCGUGUACGUACAAGCAGUGGGAGCACGCUUAGGCGUGUGACUGCGUACCUUUUGUAUAAUGGGUCAGCGACUUAUAUUCUGUAGCAAGGUUAACCGAAUAGGGGAGCCGAAGGGAAACCGAGUCUUAACUGGGCGUUAAGUUGCAGGGUAUAGACCCGAAACCCGGUGAUCUAGCCAUGGGCAGGUUGAAGGUUGGGUAACACUAACUGGAGGACCGAACCGACUAAUGUUGAAAAAUUAGCGGAUGACUUGUGGCUGGGGGUGAAAGGCCAAUCAAACCGGGAGAUAGCUGGUUCUCCCCGAAAGCUAUUUAGGUAGCGCCUCGUGAAUUCAUCUCCGGGGGUAGAGCACUGUUUCGGCAAGGGGGUCAUCCCGACUUACCAACCCGAUGCAAACUGCGAAUACCGGAGAAUGUUAUCACGGGAGACACACGGCGGGUGCUAACGUCCGUCGUGAAGAGGGAAACAACCCAGACCGCCAGCUAAGGUCCCAAAGUCAUGGUUAAGUGGGAAACGAUGUGGGAAGGCCCAGACAGCCAGGAUGUUGGCUUAGAAGCAGCCAUCAUUUAAAGAAAGCGUAAUAGCUCACUGGUCGAGUCGGCCUGCGCGGAAGAUGUAACGGGGCUAAACCAUGCACCGAAGCUGCGGCAGCGACGCUGAUGCGUUGUUGGGUAGGGGAGCGUUCUGUAAGCCUGUGAAGGUGUGCUGUGAGGCAUGCUGGAGGUAUCAGAAGUGCGAAUGCUGACAUAAGUAACGAUAAAGCGGGUGAAAAGCCCGCUCGCCGGAAGACCAAGGGUUCCUGUCCAACGUUAAUCGGGGCAGGGUGAGUCGACCCCUAAGGCGAGGCCGAAAGGCGUAGUCGAUGGGAAACAGGUUAAUAUUCCUGUACUUGGUGUUACUGCGAAGGGGGGACGGAGAAGGCUAUGUUGGCCGGGCGACGGUUGUCCCGGUUUAAGCGUGUAGGCUGGUUUUCCAGGCAAAUCCGGAAAAUCAAGGCUGAGGCGUGAUGACGAGGCACUACGGUGCUGAAGCAACAAAUGCCCUGCUUCCAGGAAAAGCCUCUAAGCAUCAGGUAACAUCAAAUCGUACCCCAAACCGACACAGGUGGUCAGGUAGAGAAUACCAAGGCGCUUGAGAGAACUCGGGUGAAGGAACUA
rnacentral:rRNA from 1 species